rnacentral:rRNA from 1 species
CUGGCUCAGGAUGAACGCUGGCGGCGUGCUUAACACAUGCAAGUCGAGCGG